UAAUGCCAGGCUUCCACAGGCUGAGCUUGGCAUUCCUCAGAGCUCUGCCCACGGUCAGCACUUUGAUCUUUAUCCUUGAAAACCGCAGCCAUUGACAAAGUCACUGCUCCAUCUGUCCAGUGACAGCACUUACAUUGCUAAAUGUCACAAAGUGAAGCUGCCACAGUUGCUCCAUGUGCUGCUCCCAGCUGGAGAAUUUGGCUCUGAGGAGACAAAGGUCCAGCAGAGUGUGUGGGGAGUAUCACUCCGAAGGUGCAUCCUGGGUUUAGCUACAAGAGCCUCCAUCUGGAAAUACCAGUGACUGUGUCCCAUCCUAUCAGCUCAAAUUAGUUGGGAAGAGGUAAAGCAAAGACAACAGGUAGUUUUUAAGGUUGCACCAAGUAGAAGGUAAGAAAAUAUAAUAAAUUUUAUUUCAUGCCUUCUUGCCA
rnacentral:lncRNA from 1 species